rnacentral:lncRNA from 1 species
GUGGCUAUUUAUAGCCCCGUACAAACGACUUCCUAUCCGACUAGAACUCUAUCCCUAAGUUUAAACGGAAAACGAAUAUUUACAAGUACGAUUCGUACUAUUUUCACGCGCUUCAUGGGCUGACUCCUUCUUCAUCUUCAUAAUCUUUUUUAAGCCCACAUCGGCCCAACUAUUCUAACCUCCUAAUCAGCCGAUCACCUCUUUGGCAAGGGGGUAACCGAUCAGGACCCACACGUCGAGGGCUCAGACUUAUCCCGACCCUGGGGACUAAGGUCGGACGAGGCGGAGAUCCUCCUUUAGAGGGUCGGGCGCGUCCGAUCCCAAACCCCAGGGGUCGGGCGAGGCGGAGAUCCUCCCUUGGAGGGUCGGGCGCGUCCGAUCCCAAACCCCAGGGGUCGGGCGAGGCGGAGAUCCUCCCUUGGAGGGUCGGGCGCGUCCGAUCCCAAGCCUCAGGGUCGGGCGAGGUGGAAAUCCUCCCUCGGAGGGUCGGGCGUGUCCGAUCCCAAACCUCAGGGGUCGGGCGAGGCGGAACUCCAAGGAUCAAUCGACCGAUCCUCGACUGUAGCAUCAAUUGGCCGAUCCUUGACUGUAGCACCAAUCGGCCGAUUUCC